rnacentral:rRNA from 1 species
UACGUAGGGAGCAAGCGUUGUCCGGAAUUACUGGGCGUAAAGGGUGCGUAGGCGGUCUAUUAAGUUAGAUGUGAAAUCCCCGGGCUUAACUCGGGAGUUGCAUUUAAAACUGGUAGGCUUGAGUGCAGGAGAGGAAAGCGGAAUUCCUAGUGUAGCGGUGAAAUGCAUAGAUAUUAGGAGGAACACCAGUGGCGAAGGCGACUUACUGGCUCGUAACUGACGAUGAGGCACGAAAGCGUGGGGAGCAAACAGGAUUAGAUACCCGCGUAGUCCCUGAGCGGG